rnacentral:rRNA from 1 species
UACCUUUUGUAUAAUGGGUCAGCGACUUAUAUUCUGUAGCAAGGUUAACCGAAUAGGGGAGCCGAAGGGAAACCGAGUCUUAACUGGGCGUUAAGUUGCAGGGUAUAGACCCGAAACCCGGUGAUCUAGCCAUGGGCAGGUUGAAGGUUGGGUAACACUAACUGGAGGACCGAACCGACUAAUGUUGAAAAAUUAGCGGAUGACUUGUGGCUGGGGGUGAAAGGCCAAUCAAACCGGGAGAUAGCUGGUUCUCCCCGAAAGCUAUUUAGGUAGCGCCUCGUGAAUUCAUCUCCGGGGGUAGAGCACUGUUUCGGCAAGGGGGUCAUCCCGACUUACCAACCCGAUGCAAACUGCGAAUACCGGAGAAUGUUAUCACGGGAGACACACGGCGGGUGCUAACGUCCGUCGUGAAGAGGGAAACAACCCAGACCGCCAGCUAAGGUCCCAAAGUCAUGGUUAAGUGGGAAACGAUGUGGGAAGGCCCAGACAGCCAGGAUGUUGGCUUAGAAGCAGCCAUCAUUUAAAGAAAGCGUAAUAGCUCACUGGUCGAGUCGGCCUGCGCGGAAGAUGUAACGGGGCUAAACCAUGCACCGAAGCUGCGGCAGCGACGCUUAUGCGUUGUUGGGUAGGGGAGCGUUCUGUAAGCCUGCGAAGGUGUGCUGUGAGGCAUGCUGGAGGUAUCAGAAGUGCGAAUGCUGACAUAAGUAACGAUAAAGCGGGUGAAAAGCCCGCUCGCCGGAAGACCAAGGGUUCCUGUCCAACGUUAAUCGGGGCAGGGUGAGUCGACCCCUAAGGCGAGGCCGAAAGGCGUAGUCGAUGGGAAACAGGUUAAUAUUCCUGUACUUGGUGUUACUGCGAAGGGGGGACGGAGAAGGCUAUGUUGGCCGGGCGACGGUUGUCCCGGUUUAAGCGUGUAGGCUGGUUUUCCAGGCAAAUCCGGAAAAUCAAGGCUGAGGCGUGAUGACGAGGCACUACGGUGCUGAAGCAACAAAUGCCCUGCUUCCAGGAAAAGCCUCUAAGCAUCAGGUAACAUCAAAUCGUACCCCAAACCGACACAGGUGGUCAGGUAGAGAAUACCAAGGCGCUUGAGAGAACUCGGGUGAAGGAACUAGGCAAAAUGGUGCCGUAACUUCGGGAGAAGGCACGCUGAUAUGUAGGUGAAGUCCCUUGCGGAUGGAGCUGAAAUCAGUCGAAGAUACCAGCUGGCUGCAACUGUUUAUUAAAAACACAGCACUGUGCAAACACGAAAGUGGACGUAUACGGUGUGACGCCUGCCCGGUGCCGGAAGGUUAAUUGAUGGGGUCAGCGCAAGCGAAGCUCUUGAUCGAAGCCCCGGUAAACGGCGGCCGUAACUAUAACGGUCCUAAGGUAGCGAAAUUCCUUGUCGGGUAAGUUCCGACCUGCACGAAUGGCGUAAUGAUGGCCAGGCUGUCUCCACCCGAGACUCAGUGAAAUUGAACUCGCUGUGAAGAUGCAGUGUACCCGCGGCAAGACGGAAAGACCCCGUGAACCUUUACUAUAGCUUGACACUGAACAUUGAGCCUUGAUGUGUAGGAUAGGUGGGAGGCUUUGAAGUGUGGACGCCAGUCUGCAUGGAGCCG